rnacentral:tRNA from 1 species
UGAUAAGAAAAGGAAUUAAACCUUUGUAGAUAGGACUACAGCCUACUACCUUACACUCGGCCAUCUUACC